UGGAGGGAGAUUCCACAGCCUCUCUGGGCAAACUGUUCCAGUGCCUCAGCACCCUCACAACAAAGAAUUUUGCUAAUACCUAAACUCACUCUCCUUCAGCUUAAGACCAUUCCACCAUGUCCUAUCAUUACAUCCUUAUCCUUUGGCUGCAGGAAAUAAUCUUCUCACUUACAUUUAUCCAGCACUGAGGUAUUUUUCAGGUAAAAAAUGUUUAUCAGAGCCAGGGAUCAUGAAAUAUUAUCAACCUCAAGCACUUGGUAACCAUGACACUCAAAAACUGUCUGCUUCAGGAGAAGGGAGAAAUGAAAGGAAGAAUAAACAUGGGGUAGGAGCA